CCUAGUUUUUGUGAAUGGAUGUGAAGCUUGAAAGUGGUGCCACCUCAACCAAGUUGAUGAUGGAGAUCUAAAGGGUCUUUGGCGCUGCAUCUUUUAACUGUUGGUGAUUCUUUGUUUAAUUGGUGAAGCCAAGUUUGUUUGCACGAUUUGGGGAACACAAUGUGAUCUUGUAGAUGUCUCCCCAUGAAACUCUACCCCCA
rnacentral:lncRNA from 1 species